GACUCCUACGGGAGGCAGCAGUGGGGAAUUUUGGACAAUGGACGCAAGUCUGAUCCAGCCAUUCCGCGUGCAGGACGAAGGCCUUCGGGUUGUAAACUGCUUUUGUACGGAACGAAAAGGUUUCUAUUAAUACUAGGAGCUCAUGACGGUACUGUAAGAAUAAGCACCGGCUAACUACGUGCCAGCAGCCGCGGUAAUA
rnacentral:rRNA from 1 species